AGUGAACGCUGGCGGUAGGCCUAACACAUGCAAGUCGAACGGCAGCACAGUAAGAGCUUGCUCUUACGGGUGGCGAGUGGCGGACGGGUGAGGAAUACAUCGGAAUCUACUUUUUCGUGGGGGAUAACGUAGGGAAACUUACGCUAAUACCGCAUACGACCUACGGGUGAAAGCAGGGGAUCUUCGGACCUUGCGUGAUUGAAUGAGCCGAUGUCGGAUUAGCUAGUUGGCGGGGUAAAGGCCCACCAAGGCGACGAUCCGUAGCUGGUCUGAGAGGAUGAUCAGCCACACUGGAACUGAGACACGGUCCAGACUCCUACGGGAGGCAGCAGUGGGGAAUAUUGGACAAUGGGCGCAAGCCCGAUCCAGCCAUACCGCGUGGGUGAAGAAGGCCUUCGGGUUGUAAAGCCCUUUUGUUGGGAAAGAAAAGCAGCAGGUUAAUACCCCGCUGUUCUGACGGUACCCAAAGAAUAAGCACCGGCUAACUUCGUG
rnacentral:rRNA from 1 species